rnacentral:lncRNA from 1 species
UUUUUUUUUUUUUUUUUUUUUUUGUCUCCUUCUUUGCCUUUAAAAAACCAGACUCAGGGUGAAAUCCUGGGCCAAUAGGAGGUUGUUUACCGAAUAAAGAAAAGUCCUCAGAUUUAGGUGUUUUCUCCACCGGUGCCUGAGGUGGAGGUUUAUAUUUUAAAAAAACAAAAUUUUUAGUAGAUGUUUUAGGAAAGGACUAUCCUCCUCCCAAUUUAUUUUUCUAUUACCUUUUUUUUAAAAAAAAAAAAAAAUCCUAUCCUGUGUCUCUCUCUCCAGUCUCACCUCUUGACUCUUUCACUGUCUCUAAUCUCUGUUUCUUUCCAUUUUUUCCCUACUUGAUCUCUCCUCUGCAGCUCCUCCACCCCCUAUAUUCCUUCUUGUUUCAAUCUUUUGUUUUUGUCCCCAAUUUUUUUUUGGGGGGGGGCUCAUAGGCUCUUUUUUAAGUCUCCAUACUCUUGUGUUUUUUUUGCUGUCCCCCUCUCUGUCUUUUUACCUCCUCUUUCCCCUCUUUCACUUACUUAACUUUUUUUUUCUUUUUGUCUCUCCUUCUCUCUGUCUUACCACUUACCUAUAAGGAGGUCCAUCCAUUUUACCUGAGGUUUAAUAGUGUUUUUAGGAUUUCAGUGUCUUGACUUCGGUGAACUUCCACAGGAAUCAACAUUUAGGUGAUUAAUAACAAACAUUGUAUGAUUAACCACAUGAUGAGGAAAGCUAUAUAUAAAUUCUCCUCCCUGUAAUUUAGUUAUUUGAUUUUUAAUAUUUGGUGUGCCCUUUUUACUAUUGCUUGUCCUUGAGGGUUAUAAGGAAUCCCCCUAGAAUGAGAAAUAUGAAACUGGGCACAAAAAUGACUGGAAGGAUUAAGAUGUAUAAGCUGGAGCAUUAUUUGUUUUAAGUUGUUUAGGUAUUUUUAACUGUGUAAAACAGAAAAACAAAUGUUAAAUAACAUUUUUAGAGGCCUCACCUAUUUUGGCUGAGGCCCAAAUUACACUGGAAAACUGGAAAAAUGAGUAACAUCCAUUUGUCAAAGGGCAUUUAGUUUGAGUCCCCGUCAAAAACCAUUGGGAAGUACAAAGAGAAAUCCAUAUGACCCUCAACUUUAACCCUCCGUCUGGCAGCCCUAACCCCAGAGAAUUGGGCCCUCUGUGUUUUUGUCACAGGAGGCGAGUAUCCAGAAUGUCUUUGGCCAAAUCGUUCCCUAUGGGGAGACUAAAGUCAAGGGACCCUUAUUAAUUAUAGGAUAUGUUGUAAAGGCGUGGAAAUCUUCCCUAUGGUAUCUAGCUGUAGCAUCUUCUAACUCCUCCUCCUCCUUUGGGGAUAAUACAUUGCCAUCAGCAGGUGUUGUGGUAAGCAUUACUUGGGAAGGAGCAGGGGGUAAUAGGGAAAUAUUUUCUCCUGGUUCCCGUUUAGCUUUAAGGGGCAUUUUAUCAAUUUCUUGUUGAGGAUAUAAUACAUCUCUAAUUAUAUACCAUGAUGCAGAAGCAUCUACAGGCACCUCUUCUGGACUGUGAUGAGUAUAAUAAAGCUUCAACUGUUUCUCUACUUCGGUCCAAGUUUUAAGAUUAACGGCGCCUUCUUCUAGAAACCAGGGGCAUUGUUCUUGUACGAGGUGUAAAAAUCCAGCAAUCUGAAAAUGAGUAACUUUUACAGCUCAUUUAUUUAACAUGUGUAACAAAAAAUCAAUGAAUAGUUGUCUCUCUUUUGAUUUUGUAUGACCCAUGGUCGUUACAAUAUCUUUACAGCUAUUUUGCAGAUUACUUAUCUUUACAAUAUCUUUACAGUUAUUUCACAAAUUACUUAUCUUUACAUUGUUACAUGAUUACUCACCCCUACUCUCCCUGCAUCUUUCUACAGGGGGGUCCCAGGCACCCCAGGUGAGAUCCUAGCUGUCCCAAUACUUACUUUUAAUGAUUACUCCUUCGGGCCCCUGUUGGGGCGCCACUUUGCCGGAGGCCAGCUCCAGCGGCCAGGGAGUAUACAUCCCGAUCAGAGAUGGACAGCGGAGGCCAAAGAAUGGAGACAGCCUCUUUGGCCCUUCUUUCAGGGCCCCGGACUGCUCAAAUUUUACUGGCAUAAGUGGUUAAUUAUACAGACAGUUUUUCACUACAGAUUACAUCGUAGUGUUAAAAGUACAUUGGUUAACUAUUAGACUUUGUUUUUUGAUCACAUGGUACAGGAGCAAUACGUCAUGUUUUAAAAUCUUUAGUCUAACUAAAUUUAGUGAGUACAAUUCAAGGACAAACAGGUGCAGCAUAUCACGUGGGAAAGAGGAGACCCAGCACAAACCAUCUGAUGGCCAGCCAAUUCCCACACGCUGAAGAAGUUACAAACACAAAAAAUCCUGUCUUUAGACUAGUGUCUAUCUUCAAAGUGUCCUUGGCAGGGAGACAGUGUGAGAAACUACAAAUCAACCUAGCUAGCUACUGUUCAAACUUUCUAAAGUCAAAGACAAAACUCACAGCUAGGUUUCUUUUGAUCAAGAAUAAUAUAUGUCUCACUUCUAUGGACUUCAUUAAAAUCCUAACUCCACUGCAUGACUAGUUAGUAGAUAAACACUGUGUUUUUAAUUAAGUUGGAUUUAAAUAGGGGAAAGUCCUUUAGGAUGAAAUUCUUAUUAUAUUAUUAUUGUAUUUUUGUUAAGUCACAAAUCACCACAGAAAAAUAAGAAUGAGAAAUAAGAAUAAUAUGCAAAUAAUCAGGACAGGCUGAGGAAAACUGAAUAACAAAUAAAACAUCAAGAAAGACUAGGUCACCCGAGAAACAAUCCAUGUUCUCCGGUGCAAACAUGGAAAUUGUUUGCCCAGGAAAGCCCCAAUUCUUCCCCAUCAACAUCAAAAUGAGAGCCGUGUAACCUGAGGCCUGCCCUCGGCUUGUACCAUACAGGCAGGCUUUUAACCUGUCCAGAGGCCCACCUUCAGCAUGUACCAUUCAGGUGAGUGCCCUUCCUUGGUUAGGAACCUGCCUUCAGGUUUUUCUGCAAUGAGGCAAGGUCCUUUUUUUGAGUCCUUGCAUCUCCUUGGCUGCCCGCAGAUGAGAGCAAAAAUAAAUGCAAUAGAGUCCAGAAAAACAAUAAAAAAGAUUUAUGGUCAAUUAUUCCACACCCAUAUAUGAUAAAAAUGCUCAAUAAAAUGGGUAUAGAAGAAAUAUAACUCAAUAUAAUAAAAGCCACAUAUGACAGACCCACAGCUAACAUCAUACUCAACAGUAAAAACCAAAAGUUAUCCCUCUAAAAUUAUGACCGAAACAAGCAUGCCUACUCCAACCACUUUUAUUUAGCAUAGUAUUAGAAGUCCUAGAUAGAGAAAUUAGUCAAAAAAAAAGAAAUAAAAAGCAUCCAAAUUCAUAAGGUAAGAAAACUGUCACUAUUUGUGAAUGAUAUAUUUUAUAUGUAGAAAACCCUGAAGACUCCACCAAAAGAAAAAGUAUUAGAAAUAAUAAAUGCCUACAGUAAAGUUGCAGUGUAAAAAAUCAAUGUACAAAAAUCUGUUGUGUUUCUAUACUUAACAAUGAAGUAGAAAGAGAAAACAAUCCCAUUUUUACAAUUGUAACAACAACAAAAAUACCUAGAAAGAAAUUUAACCAAGGAGGUAAAAUACUUGUACAUUGAAAACUAUGACAUUGUUGAAAGAAACUGAAGAAGAAACAUAGAAAUAGAAAGAUAUAGCAUGCUCAUAGAUUGGAAUGAUUAAUAUUGUUAAAAUGUCCAUAUUACCUAAAACAAACUACAGAUCCAACGCAAUCCUAGUCACAUAAAUAGAAAAAGAAAUCCUAAAAUUUAUAUUGGAACUACAAAAAACCUCAGAUAGCCAAUGAAAU